CUUUGACACAUAAAGCAGAGGGGGAGGAGAAGGGUUGCUGAGAAUAGUAGUUUUACUGGAAAUUCCAAGUUCUGAAGCCCUGCUUCCCAGUGGUUGGACACCAGAGGAGGAUUCCUCCACUUUGGCAAUCACUUAUGGAGCAGAUUUUUGCCAGUAGUAGCACGGUCUUUAAGUGGACUAGUAAUACAAUUUUUCAAAGUGUAAAACUUAGCUUUUUUACUUGUUUUUUCCCCUUAGUGGCAGUUUUUUGUUUUUGUGAAAAAGUAUUUUUAGUUUCAGCACAGGAGAUCUUGCAAAAACUCAUAAGGCCAACAAUGGUUACAAUUCCCUGCCCUGUACUAGCAACACCCUAAAGCAGAGGUAGGCAACCUAUGGCACGCGUGCUGAAGGCAGCACGUGAGCUGAUUUUCAGUGGCACUCGUGCUGCCCGGGUCCUCAAGUUUCUUAACCAUUUUCAAAACCUUAUUUACUUUACAUACAACAAUAGUUUAGUUAUAUAUUAUAGACUUAUAGAAAUCUUCU